CCCGCUUCCUGUCAACCGAUUAAUCUGAAAUUUUGUAUACACUUUGGAUUUUGGUGACAAUACAAUUAUGUUUAUUCAUUAUCAUUAUAAAUUCAAGAUGGCCGCCGCUACAAAAUGGCGGAUAAUUUAUGUUUUAUUAAUCCCAUCAAUAUGGGUAUCAAAUGAAAGGGCUCAACAAGCAGAAUACAAUAUACUAUAAAAAAUUGAAAUACAAGAUGGCGGCCGCUACA
rnacentral:misc_RNA from 1 species